rnacentral:rRNA from 1 species
UUUAGUGGCAAACGGGUGAGUAACACGUAGGUAAUCUACCGCGCACAGAGGGAUAACUCCGAGAAAUCGGAGCUAAUACCCGAUGGUUCCCAAAAAGUGAAAUUCUUUUUGGGAUAAAUGUUUCGGGGCAACUCGGGAUGGUGUGCGAUGAGCCUGCGGCCUAUCAGCUUGUUGGUAGGGUAAUGGCUUACCAAGGCGAUGACGGGUAGCUGGUCUGAAAGGACGGUCAGCCACAGGGGAACUGAGACACGGUCCCCACUCCUACGGGAGGCAGCAGUGAGGAAUUUUGGACAAUGGGGAAAACCCUGAUCCAGCGACGCCGCGUGGAGGAUGAAGGUCUUCGGAUUGUAAACUCCUUUUGUCCCGGACGAUUCCUGACGGUACGGGACGAAUAAGCCACGGCUAACUACGUGCCAGCAGCCGCGGUAAUACGUAGGUGGCGAGCGUUGCUCGGAAUUACUAGGCGUAAAGCGCGUGUAGGCGUUUCGGUAAGUCUUGGUUGAAAUUUUUCGGCUCAACCGAAAAACGGGCGAAGAAACUGCCGGGAUUGAGUGUGGGAGAGGGAGCUGGAAUUCCCGGUGUAGCGGUGAAAUGCGCAGAGAUCGGGAGGAACACCAAUAGCGAAGGCAGGCUCCUGGACCAUUAGUGACGCUGAGAGGCGAAAGCUAGGGGAGCAAACAGGAUUAGAUACCCUGGUAGUCCUAGCCGUAAACGAUGCUCACUGGAUAUGGGAGGUGUCGACCCCUUCCGUGUCGUAGUUGACGCGUUAAGUGAGCCGCCUGGGGAGUACGGCCGCAAGGUUGAAACUCAAAGGAAUUGACGGGGGCCCGCACAAGCGGUGGAGCAUGUGGUUUAAUUCGACGCAACGCGAAGAACCUUACCUGGGCUUGAACUGCUGGUAGUAAGGACCCGAAAGGGGAAUGAUUCCGACGAAAGUUGGAGAGCCAGCAGAGGUGCUGCAUGGUUGUCGUCAGCUCGUGUCGUGAGAUGUUGGGUUAAGUCCCGCAACGAGCGCAACCCUCAUUCUCUGUUGCUACUUCCCGAUUUAUCGGGAAAGCACUCUGAGGAAACUGCCCCGGAUAACGGGGAGGAAGGCGGGGACGACGUCAAAUCAGCAUGGCCUUUAUGUCCAGGGCUACACACGUGCUACAAUGGCUGAUACAACGGGAAGCAAGACCGUAAGGUGGAGCAAAUCCCUUAAAACCAGCCCCAGUUCAGAUUGAGGGCUGCAAUUCGCCCUCAUGAAGGCGGAAUCGCUAGUAAUCGCAGAUCAGCAGGCUGCGGUGAAUACGUUCCCGGGCCUUGUACACACCGCCCGUCACAUCACGAAAGCCGGUGAUUGCUGAAUCCUUCCAAAUAAAUUCGGGAGAACAAGCGAUGAUCGGUAAUUGGGAUGAAGUCGUAACAAGGUAACC